AAAUGCCUCUGGCAUUGCCUCCCGGUGUCCGUGAGUGUGCAAAUGCCCCUGGCAUCAGCUCCAGGCCCUAUGGGUGCCCUAGAGCAUGUAAAUGCUGCCCAUGGGUGCUCAUGAGUGUGCAAAUGCCUCUGGCAUUGGAUCCUGGUGCCUGCGGGUGCUCGUGAGCGUGCAGAUGCCUCCAGCAUCAGCUCCCGGUGUCUCUGGGUGCCCGUGAGCAUGCAAAUGCCUCCAGCAUUGGCUCUGGCAUCAGCUCCCAGCACCCACGCGUGCCUGUGAGCGUGCGGGUGCCCGUGGGUGUGCAAAUGCCUCCGGCUCCGGCACCGGCUCCGGGAGGCUUUGCCUGGCGCUCACUGGCUUCUCCCUCCCUGCAGUUCAUUUCCCAGACUCAGGCGCAGCUGCUGCAGGGAGCCGCUCCCAACACGCCGGUGGUCGUCAGCAACCCAAGCGUCCCCUUCCACGCGGCGCUGCCCAAGACGCCCUCGGCCCAGCCGCGGCCCAUCACCAUCGUGGGCAGCGUCCCGCCG
rnacentral:lncRNA from 1 species